rnacentral:misc_RNA from 1 species
CUGAAAGUUGUUAGAUCGGCCAUUACU